rnacentral:rRNA from 1 species
GACGAACGCUGGCGGCGUGCUUAACACAUGCAAGUCGAACGGUAAGGCCCUUCGGGGUACACGAGUGGCGAACGGGUGAGUAACACGUGGGUGAUCUACCCUGCACUUCGGGAUAAGCCUGGGAAACUGGGUCUAAUACCGGAUAGGACCACUGCCUGCAUGGGUGGAGGUGGAAAGCUUUUGCGGUGUGGGAUGGGCCCGCGGCCUAUCAGCUUGUUGGUGGGGUGAUGGCCUACCAAGGCGACGACGGGUAGCCGGCCUGAGAGGGUGACCGGCCACACUGGGGCUGAGAUACGGCCCAGACUCCUACGGGAGGCAGCAGUGGGGAAUAUUGCACAAUGGGCGCAAGCCUGAUGCAGCGACGCCGCGUGAGGGAUGACGGCCUUCGGGUUGUAAACCUCUUUCAGCACCGACGAAGCGCAAGUGACGGUAGGUGCAGAAGAAGGACCGGCCAACUACGUGCCAGCCGCCGCCGUAA